UCGCUGUCACGAUCUCCACAUAUUUAUCCUUGUGUCUCUUCUUCUUCAACUCACGCUACAACACAGACUCCGACAACAAGUUCGUAGUGCCAACCACAUUCUCCGGCAAGAAUCUAACGUCUUUAAUCUCAGCAUAUCCUUUUUAUUUUCCGACACGAGCUUUUUUAACUUCCACAAGCCAUCACUAACGGCACCGAGAUUGAAAGGUCCCCUUCCUUUGUCGUGCGUCAUAACAGAAAAAUCUACGUCCUGCAUAGUACGAAUGAGGGACAAGUGUUGAAUUUGACAAGGUGCAAGUGAUUUUAUUAUUGGGUUCAGGUACAAACAAGGGAAGAGCAGAAGUAGGUG
rnacentral:lncRNA from 1 species